rnacentral:rRNA from 1 species
CCCAGUGACCUAAAGGAGCUGGCAUCAAGCUCACAACCAUUGUAGCUCAUAACACCUUGCUCAGCCACACCCCCACGGGAUACAGCAGUGAUAAAAAUUAAGCUAUGAAUGAAAGUUCGACUAAGCUAUAUUAAAUUAGGGUUGGUAAAUUUCGUGCCAGCCACCGCGGUCAUACGAUUAACCCAAACUAAUAGACCUACGGCGUAAAGCGUGUUACAGAAGAAACAUAUACUAAAGUUACACCUUAACUAGGCUGUAAAAAGCUGCAGUUAACAUAAAAAUAUAGCACGAAAGUAACUUUAAUAUCUCCGACCACACGAUAGCUAAGACCCAAACUGGGAUUAGAUACCCCACUAUGCUUAGCCCUAAACCUAGAUAGUUAACUCAAACAAAACUAUCCGCCAGAGAACUACUAGCAACAGCUUAAAACUCAAAGGACUUGGCGGUGCUUUAUAUCCCUCUAGAGGAGCCUGUUCUAUAAUCGAUAAACCCCGAUAAACCUCACCAUCUCUUGCCAAUUCAGCCUGCAUACCGCCAUCUUCAGCAAACCCUAAAAAGGAAGAAAAGUAAGCACAAGUGCCUUAACACAAAAAAGUUAGGUCAAGGUGUAGCCCAUGAGAUGGGAAGCAAUGGGCUACAUUUUCUACAACUAGAACAUCCACCUAAAAUCCUUAUGAAAUUAAGUAUUAAAGGAGGAUUUAGUAGUAAAUUUGAGAGUAGAGAGCUCAAUUGAAUCGGGCCAUGAAGCAC